rnacentral:misc_RNA from 1 species
GUAUCCCUUUACCGGAAGAAAUUUUGCAAAAAAAAGAUGUAUCGUGCCGACGCUAAAGAAAAUACAAGAUUGUUUAUUUUAGCAGGGAAGGGGGUAAAAGAAGAGACAUUCAGAGAAAAGUUUGAACAAUAUGGAAAGAUUGAAGACCUGUGGAUUGUCAAAGACAAGCGCACGAAUGAGGAUAAAGGUGUUGUCUAUGUCACAUAUUCCAAGGUGUCAGAGGCUGCUUUAGCUCUUGAAGAAAUGAAUGGAAAAAUUUUACCUGGAAAUCCAAGGCCUUUGAAGGUGCUUGUUGCAAAUACAAAGAGAGAUGGUUCAGUGAGGGAUCCAAGAGAAGAUGAGAGACUUGUUCGACUGUUUGUUAUCAUCCCUAAAUCAUUCACUGAAGAUGAUGUCACCAAAGAAUUCUCUCAACAUGGAGAUGUGGCAAGUGUGAAUGUGCUUCGUGACAAGGACAGUGGGGCCCCCAAGGGGUUUGCUUAUGUAAGGUUCCAUAGGCCGUACCAUGCAGCUCUGGCCCUGGAAAAUUGUAAACCUUCAUUUAAACCAAAAUGGGCGGAACCAAAGAAACCAGUUGGAGAAACCGUAGACAAGUAUGCACGAGACUUCCGUGACAUGCGAGACCAACGAGACAACUACUAUGAUCGCUCGAGCAGGAUGUUCGAUGAUAGAGACAGAGAUCGGGGAGAUAGAGGUGAUAGAAGAAGUAGCGGGGCUCCAGGCGGCUACCCUUACUCAGACAGAGAUAGAGGUCUGAAGCGUGGUUUUGAUGACUACAGAGAUGACAGGGACAUAAGGAGGGAUAGACGAGAAGAUUAUAUUGCUGAUGACGGACGGUCUAGAUACAGCGAAGGUAAACCUUCUGACGAUAUGCUGUAUGGUCGUGGUGUAGUUGAACAGACUCCAUUCACAAUGAUUCAAGACCAUCAACACAACAACUGCCAACGCCUGCUUGUGACAGCCCCUCUUGGAUUGACACAGAGUUACCUACAUAAAUUGUUCAACUUGAUACCUGGUCUGGAAUAUUGUGAUCUCAAUGAACAAACUGGUCUUGCCUACGUAAGAUAUCAAACUCCUCAGUGUGCAGCCUAUGCUCGAGAGAAGUUGGAUGGGUUUGAAUACCCAAUUGGAAGUCGUUUGUUGGUGAGAUUCACAGAGGGUUCAAAUCAAAGUAAUCAAGAUAUGAGGCAAGGCUUUGAUCAAAUGCCGGAAGGUUACCGAGGUGUUGGCGGGCCUGAACCUCUAAUGGAUAGCAGUUCAGUACAGCAUCAGGCUGCCAAAGUACUUGAGCAAGCUGGUAUCAAUCCUGACCUGGUCCUUCAGAUGAACCAGCACGUACAGUCACAGCAAAUGGACAACAAAUUGGAACGUGUUACCUACUGUAACCUUAAACUGCCCCUGCCAAAGCCCCUUGUCCCGGAGGACGCCCCUGUAGCUGAACGUCUGUUUAUAGUUUGUCAGCCAGCAGCAGUGCCAGAGAGGAUAUUGAGAGAUGCUUUCAGCAGAUUUGGCAACUUGAUAGAGGUCUAUUUACUGUCUGGAAGAAAUUUUGGUUAUGCCAAAUACGCAACCAAAGACUCUGCUGCCAUGGCAAUAGAGAAGCUGCAUGGACAAUGUGUUGCUGGGCAACGACUGAAGGUACUAGAGGCGGAACCUCAGAAAAAUCCCACUGACGAAGAUGGACACAAGAGACAGAGAGUAGAAUCUUUGAAUUAAAGAUAUUUGGGGAGCUUACAUAAGUUCAGCUGCUAGAGCUUUUUUCCAUGACCAGUCACAUGUGAAGAAUGGAGAUUUCUGGUGUGAUGUUGACUGUUGGUUUAAUGGUCCUGGUAGUGUUAGCACAGCAAUGCCAGACACGGAGCAGUGGUGGCAGUGAGAAAAUGUGUCUGUAUCUUGGGAAACAAUUUCGUGUAGGAGAGUUGGUGACAGGAAAUGUUUGUGAUAGAUGUUACUGUACUCAACAUGGAAUCAUGUGUGAGAUGGUGAAAUGUCCGACAGCAAAUUGUCAUGACAAGGUGAAGGGGAAGUGUUGCUAUGAAUGUCCAAAUGGUCCGAACUGUCUGUAUGAAAGUGAGAACAGCACCUCCUUUCCAGUUCUUGUUCCAGAAACAGGAUGUAUUUACAGUGAAGGUGUCGUCUGCCACUGUUCCCAUGACAAAAAAAUGGCGGACAAGGAAGAAACUGAGUGCAUGCCAGCAUUGCCUGGAGACAGUAGCCCACCAUGUACUCCUCACAUGCCAUAAUGACAAAAAGACACUUUAGUGACAAUUUGUAGACCAACUAUAUACAGCCCUACAUUUCUUGUGAAACAAUUAUUAACACUGUAACAGUACAAAUGAACUUGCCUUAGCAGUCCCCUGUAUUUAGCAGCCACUUACCUAAGCAGGCAGCUAGCUGACUUCCUAAUUUGAAUUUUAUGUUGUUAUUUUAACUUGACUUUAGCAGCCAGUUAUGUCAUUCCCAUAUGUGGCUGUUUAAUACAGCCUUCACUGUACACCAGUGCCAGCAAAACAGAGAUUGUCCAAAAGAUUUUUGAUGCAUGGCCUUGUUAGAAAAUAUUCAUUGACAAUUGUAAUUUAAAACAUUUUUGGCCCAGAAAUUUUAGUGGUUUGUCUGUAACUCAUGUUUAAACAUUUACUCUAAUACAAUUUAAUUAAUGCUGGUUAUCAAUCAACUGGGACUGUUUCAAAUUUUGAAUUUUUAAAGUAAGGUUGCCUAACCAAACUAGAACCUGUAUAGAAAUAUUUGCGUAAUUUUUGUGAGUAUGCCAAUCAAUGUUUAAGAUUAAAAGAACAAUUAAAAAGAA